CCUCCGGGAGGCUGCAGUGGUGAAUUUUGGACAAUGGGCGCAAGCCUGAUCCAGCUAUUCCGCGUGUGGGAAGACGGCCUUCGGGUUGUAAACCACUCUUGUAGAGAACGAAAAGUCUAUUGAUAAUACCGAUAGACGAUGACGGUUCUAUCAGAAUAAGCACCGGAUAACUACGUGACAGCACCCGAGGUAAUACGUAGGGUGCGAGCGUUAAUCGGAUUUACUGGGCGUAAAGGGUGUGCAGGCGGUUUUGCAAGAUGGAUGGUAAAGCCCCGGGCUUACCCUGGGAAAGCCAUACAUUACUGCAAGACUAGAGUGCGUCAGAGGGGGGUGGAAUUCCAAGUGUAGCAGUGAAAUGCGUAGAUAUUUGGAAGAACACCGAUGGCGAAGGCAGCCCCCUGGGACGCAACUGACGCUCAUACACGAAAGCGUGGGGAGCAAACAGGAUUAGAUACCCCAGUAGUC
rnacentral:rRNA from 1 species